rnacentral:rRNA from 1 species
UACGAAGGGGGCUAGCGUUGCUCGGAAUUACUGGGCGUAAAGGGAGCGUAGGCGGAUAGUUCAGUCAGAGGUGAAAGCCCAGGGCUCAACCUUGGAAUUGCCUUUGAUACUGGCGACCUUGAGUCCGGGAGAGGUGAGUGGAACUGCGAGUGUAGAGGUGAAAUUCGUAGAUAUUCGCAAGAACACCAGUGGCGAAGGCGGCUCACUGGCCCGGUACUGACGCUGAGGUGCGAAAGCGUGGGGAGCAAACAGG